UCUAAUAUAUAAACAUGUUUUAUUACUGGCUUAAAGGCAAAAUCAACAUUACUUGAACAGAAACGCUGAGAAAUUCUGCAGAAAUACCCCACUGAUGGUCAUGCUAGAGCCUAAUUAGCCGUCACAGUGUUGGGCUGUGUAGUCUUGCAGAUAGGCGAAAUUGCUGUCACGGUACAAAUUAUUAAUUUAGUUUCAGUUGCAAACCUGUUUUAAGUGUUGCUCUCCUUGCAGCGAAGAAUUAAGCCAUGAUACACCAACAGUGAGGUCAUGGAAGUGCAGGUAGGUGUUCCUGAAUUAGUGUUUGAGCUCAGUAGACGUAGGCAAUAUGUGUAUGUGUUAUGAAGAGUUGACCGUAAGCCAACUGUUCUUGGCAGAUGCUGUGUACCAGGUGGGUGCUAUGGCUCUGCACUGGCAGCACCUGACCUAGCUGCUUUGGGAUGCAUUUUAAGUGAUCUAUAUGAGCUUCUGUGUCAUGGACAACAGUGAAAAAGAGCUAUCUUCCUCACUUCUUGCUGCUUAGACUGUUACCUGCCUUCUACAUGCCCUCCUGGUAUACAGCACGAUGUUCACCAGGCCUUCUGCACGCCUUGUUCUGUGUGGAUUCACACAAUGCCCUUGUGUAGGCAGAAACAUUUUGCUCUGGAUUACGAAGCUGUACAUGACUGUUUCCUCCAUCUGCGAUGGCUGAGAAGAACUCUUCAGAGACUUUCCUCAGUAGAAAUAACAGCUUAGUGUAAACCCAUCUGCAGCCGUAAAUUUGUACAGUUGUGAGGUUUAUUUUUUUUUUUUUCUCGUAGUUGUCCAUGUGGAAGCCCUUCUAAAGGAGAACUCAGGAAGUUUUCUCCUUGGAAGAAGAUCAGCUCACUAAUUUUUCCUUUACAAACACAACUCCUGGUAGCAUCAAUGGAAAUUACGGGGAGAUUCUCCAAAGCCUCCGAAGUCAAUGGAAGCCUUUCUGUGACUUAGGAGGAUUUUAAUCAGUUACCAUGUAAAAGAGAUAAGAAAUCCUAAUUAUAAUUUUCUGAUGAGUUUUAAGAAUCUUGCUACAGCAGGCUUCUGUAGAAAUACAGUUUAAUAAAGCUGGUAGAGCUCUAAGAACUCAUUUUCCUCAGGUUUGAGUGCUUGGUCAGUUAGAAAUAAGCUGACUUAUCUCUUCUUGUACCUUAUGACAGCUGUGUACCCCAGCCACGUUGUUCUCGGGACUCUCUCAAUAGGGCAGUCUUUGAUGGAUCUCUGUUCAUGAGAGAUUUUUCAGAAUUGAGUAUUUCAGUCUUCCUUUGGGCCCAAGACUGGAGAAGGAAGUAUCCCUGCCACGAACAGCUGCCUACAGGGAGCCAAGCAGCGUAAACCCAACAGCACAUCCUUCGGGGGGUUCUGCAUUGCUCCACUGCCUUUUUGUUCUGCACAUUGACUAUUUAUUUAGCCCAGAUUUGUAAGAACAGCAUUUUUUUGAAAGACGUGAGGACACUGAUUAUGUUUUUGUGAGCUUUUAUGUAAAAGCCAAGAGGGUAGCAAUGAUAGAUGAUAGCUACUCGUGUGUGGAAGGGGAAAGGUUCAUUCAGCAGGUUGCCAGCAUGCAUUUAAUUGUUAAUUAUGUGGAAAAUACUCUUGAUUAAUAUUCUACCUCAUAGUAUGUUAAUUGGAUUUGUUUUCAGAGAAUCCCAUAAAGCAGAGGUUUGGAAGAGAGCUCUGGAGAUCAUCUUGCUCACCCUGUGCUCAAAGCAGAGCACAGUCCAAAGAAAACAUUACAUUUUGACUUCUAAUUUGUGCUCAUUAUGUUGGUAGGAGGAUACGAAGGCUGUUUGCUUCUCUCUCCAACAAGCCAUCACCAUCGGUGCAUCCCCAUAACCUCUGUGUAAAGUCUGAGUUGUGGCUAUACCCUUCAGCUCACAAGGUUUUCAGUUGAGUUGACACGUCUGUGAAAACACAACAUCAGAUAAAGCAGUAGACUGGAUGGUUGGUAUUUACAGCUUUUAUACUCUGCAAGAACACUACUAAGUAUAAGCACAAAGAGAUCACAGAGACUCAGGACGCAGUGUUAAUCAAUGCAAGUCCUGUGAUGGAAGCUAGCAAAGAGCAAACAAAUCCAAGAUAUUUCAGCAGUGAUACGGUGUACAGUGUGAGAGCUGCUGCUGGGAGGCUUUUACAAGCCCCCCUGUCCCUACAGGACACUCACUCAUCGUAGCUCUGAAUAGGACAGGAAAG